AUGAGUCAGAUCUUUAUAUUACACUUUUUCACUUUUUUUUUCAGAUCUCAGUUCUUAUUCAGCUGGAAGAAAUGCCAGUUACAUAAAGAAUGCUGUGGAAAUACAGUUUGGAAUCAUCAUUGUUACUCCUUCUUCAAGACCGGAAUGAUGGAAAGAAUUUCAGCAUGUACGACUAAAUAUCAUUUGGAACAUCAUGUGGGUCGCAACCUCAGAAGAUUUGGAGACGGCACUCGAUUUGAAGAUUUGGAGAAGAAACCGUCAUUGUGAGAGUGAUGCAUUUACUUUUUUUGUCAAAUGACAAAGGAAAGACGGAAGGUAAAGAAGUGUCGUCAUCCGAGAUUAGUAUGCGGUAUGUAUAAUGCAGUGCAUUUAUAUGUAUUUAUAUAAGUGUAUAUAUAUGUGUGUGUGUGUGUAGAUAUACAUGUAGAUAUAGACACACACACACGCACACUACCGUUUUAAAAGCUUUGGGUUGGAAAGUUUUUUUCAGUCUUUUUUUUUUUUUUUUUUUUUAAGUCUCUUAUGUCGACCAAGACUGCAUUUCUUUGAUCAAAAAUACAGUUAAAAAUCGAUUUAUUAUUAUUACUAUUAUUAUUUUGAUUCAUUAUUAUUUUUUCAAAAAUGAUUUCUUUUUAUUGUCAAUGGUGAAAACAGCUGUGCUAAAAUCUAAUAUUUUUGGAAAUGGUGAUUAAAAAAAAGCAUUUAUUUGAAAUAUAUAUUCGUAUAUAUUAAUAUAUUUAUUUGAAAUUAUAUAUAUAUAUAUAUAUAUAUAUAUAUAUAUAUUCACUAAGUGUAAGGUUUUAUAAAGAAGAUAAUAUUUUUUUUUAGUAUAUUUAACUUUUACUACAGCUUAAGAUAUGGUCAAUUAUACGUUUAUUAUUGCAUAAAAAUAAUAAAAAUCUGUGUCAUAAAUCUGUGGCCUUAAUU
ensembl:lncRNA